rnacentral:tRNA from 2 species
GGGGCUGUAGCUCAAUGGUAGAGCGCCAGUCUUCCAAACUGGAUACGCGGGUUCGAUUCCCGUCAGCCCCU